rnacentral:rRNA from 1 species
GUCUAUGGCCAUACCACCCUGAAUGCGCCCAACCUCAUCUGAUCUCAGAAGCUAAGCAGGGUUGGGCCUGGUUGGUACCUGGAUGGGAGAAAGUCUCUUUCUAAUGUCUUCCUUGUUUGAGUAGCUGGGCUAUCAGUC